GGCUCUGUGGUGCAAUGGAUAGCGCAUUGGACUUCCAGGUUCAAUAUUGGAGCUAUUCAAAAGUUGUGGGUUCAAGUCCCUCCAGAGUCA
rnacentral:tRNA from 1 species